GUGGCGCAGUGGCUAAGAGGGACGACUUUGAAGCAAACGGUCAUGAGUUCGA
rnacentral:sRNA from 1 species